rnacentral:rRNA from 1 species
AGGGGGGCCUUAACUUCCCGGAGAAGAUUUCAAUUUUCUGCCACCGAAUACAUUAGCAUGGGAUAAUGGAAUACGCACCCUGUCCUCCUAUUUUCAGUUGGUUUUGGCAGCGCGAGGACUAGGGUAAUGAUUAAUAGGGAUAGUUGGGGGCAUUAAUAUUUAAUUGUCAGAGGUGAAAUUCUUGGAUUUAUGAAAGAUUAACUUCUGCGAAAGCAUCUGCCCAGGAUGUUUUCAUUAAUCAAGAACGACAGUUAGGGGAUCGAAGACGAUCACAUACCGUCGUAGUCUUAACCCUACACCAUGCCGACCACCCCAUUAGGAGACGUUGAAUACAAAACACCACCCUCGGCGCGGUCGUCCUUGGCGU